AUUGAACGCUGGCGGCAUGCCUUACAUAUGCAAGUCGAACGGCAGCACGGGGCAACCUGGUGGCGAGUGGCGAACGGGUGAGUAAUGCAUCGGAACGUACCUUUCAGUGGGGGAUAACGUAGCGAACGUUACGCUAAUACCGCAUAUUCUGUGCGCAGGAAAGCAGGGGACCUUCGGGCCUUGCGCUGAUUGAGCGGCCGAGGUAAGGUUAGCUAGUUGGUGAGGUCAAGGCGCACCAAGGCGACGAUCUGUAGCGGGUCUGAGAGGAUGAUCGGCCACACUGGAACUGAGAGACGGUCCAGACUCCUACGGGAGGCAGCAGUGGGGAAUUUUGGACAAUGGGGGCAACCCUGAUCCAGCCAUGCCGCGUGAGUGAAGAAGGCCUUCGGGUUGUAAAGCUCUUUCGGCCGGGAAGAAAUCGUAUGGGCUAAUACCCUGUGCGGAUGACGGUACCGGCAUAAGAAGCACCGGCUAACUACGUGCCAGCCGCCGCCGUAAUAC
rnacentral:rRNA from 1 species